UACGUAGGGGGCAAGCGUUGUCCGGAAUCAUUGGGCGUAAAGAGCGCGUAGGCGGUCCGGUAAGUCCGCUCUGAAAGCCCGGGGCUCAACCCCGGGAGGCGGGCGGAUACUGUCGGGCUAGAGUCCGGAAGAGGCGAGUGGAAUUCCUGGUGUAGCGGUGAAAUGCGCAGAUAUCAGGAGGAGCACCGAUGGCGAAGGCAGCUCGCUGGGACGGUACUGACGCUGAGGCGCGAAAGCGUGGGGAGCAAACAGG
rnacentral:rRNA from 1 species